rnacentral:rRNA from 1 species
AUAAUGGGUCAGCGACUUAUAUUCUGUAGCAAGGUUAACCGAAUAGGGGAGCCGAAGGGAAACCGAGUCUUAACUGGGCGUUAAGUUGCAGGGUAUAGACCCGAAACCCGGUGAUCUAGCCAUGGGCAGGUUGAAGGUUGGGUAACACUAACUGGAGGACCGAACCGACUAAUGUUGAAAAAUUAGCGGAUGACUUGUGGCUGGGGGUGAAAGGCCAAUCAAACCGGGAGAUAGCUGGUUCUCCCCGAAAGCUAUUUAGGUAGCGCCUCGUGAAUUCAUCUCCGGGGGUAGAGCACUGUUUCGGCAAGGGGGUCAUCCCGACUUACCAACCCGAUGCAAACUGCGAAUACCGGAGAAUGUUAUCACGGGAGACACACGGCGGGUGCUAACGUCCGUCGUGAAGAGGGAAACAACCCAGACCGCCAGCUAAGGUCCCAAAGUCAUGGUUAAGUGGGAAACGAUGUGGGAAGGCCCAGACAGCCAGGAUGUUGGCUUAGAAGCAGCCAUCAUUUAAAGAAAGCGUAAUAGCUCACUGGUCGAGUCGGCCUGCGCGGAAGAUGUAACGGGGCUAAACCAUGCACCGAAGCUGCGGCAGCGACACUAUGUGUUGUUGGGUAGGGGAGCGUU